rnacentral:misc_RNA from 1 species
GAUGAAGAACGUAGCGAAAUGCGAUACUUGGUGUGAAUUGCAGAAUCCCGUGAACCAUCGAGUCUUUGAACGCAAGUUGCGCCCGAAGCCACUAGGCCGAGGGCACGCCUGCCUGGGCGUCACACGUCGUUGCCCCCCCCCCAUCUACUCCUUCGGGAUUGCGGGGGGCGGAUGAUGGCCUCCCGUGCGCCGAGCCGCGCGGUUGGCAUAAAUACCAAGUCCUCGGCGACGCACGCCACGACAAUCGGUGGUUGCGAAACCUCGGUUGCCCGUCGUGUGCGUUCGUCGCGCAUCGAGGGCUCGAAAAAAUGCUCGGCUCCGGCUCGGCUUUCAACGCGACCCCAGGUCAGGCGGGGUUACCCGCUGAAUUUAAGCAUAUCAAUAAGCGGAGGA